GACGAGCGCUGGCGGCGUGCCUAAUACAUGCAAGUUGAGCGCUGAAGGUUGGUACUUGUACCGACUGGAUGAGCAGCGAACGGGUGAGUAACGCGUGGGGAAUCUGCCUUUGAGCGGGGGACAACAUUUGGAAACGAAUGCUAAUACCGCAUAAAAACUUUAAACACAAGUUUUAAGUUUGAAAGAUGCAAUUGCAUCACUCAAAGAUGAUCCCGCGUUGUAUUAGCUAGUUGGUGAGGUAAAGGCUCACCAAGGCGAUGAUACAUAGCCGACCUGAGAGGGUGAUCGGCCACAUUGGGACUGAGACACGGCCCAAACUCCUACGGGAGGCAGCAGUAGGGAAUCUUCGGCAAUGGACGAAAGUCUGACCGAGCAACGCCGCGUGAGUGAAGAAGGUUUUCGGAUCGUAAAACUCUGUUGGUAGAGAAGAACGUUGGUGAGAGUGGAAAGCUCAUCAAGUGACGGUAACUACCCAGAAAGGGACGGCUAACUACGUG
rnacentral:rRNA from 1 species